GACGAACGCUGGCGGCGUGCUUAACACAUGCAAGUCGAACGGAAAGGCCCUGCUUUUGUGGGGUGCUCGAGUGGCGAACGGGUGAGUAACACGUGAGUAACCUGCCCUUGACUUUGGGAUAACUUCAGGAAACUGGGGCUAAUACCGGAUAGGAGCUCCUGCUGCAUGGUGGGGGUUGGAAAGUUUCGGCGGUUGGGGAUGGACUCGCGGCUUAUCAGCUUGUUUGUGGGGUAGUGGCUUACCAAGGCUUUGACGGGUAGCCGGCCUGAGAGGGUGACCGGCCAAAUUGGGACUGAGAUACGGACCAGAGUCAUACGGGAGGCAGCAGUGGGGAAUAUUGCACAAUGGGAGGAAGCCUGAUGCAGAAACGCAGCGUGCGGGAUGACGGCCUUCGGGUUGUAAACCGCUUUCGCCUGUGACGAAGCGUGAGUGACGGUAAUGGGUAAAGAAGCACCGGCUAACUACGUG
rnacentral:rRNA from 1 species